AUUGAACGCUGGCGGCAGGCCUAACACAUGCAAGUCGAGCGAAUGAAGGGAGCUUGCUCCUGGAUUCAGCGGCGGACGGGUGAGUAAUGCCUAGGAAUCUGCCUGGUAGUGGGGGAUAACGUCCGGAAACGGGCGCUAAUACCGCAUACGUCCUGAGGGAGAAAGUGGGGGAUCUUCGGACCUCACGCUAUCAGAUGAGCCUAGGUCGGAUUAGCUAGUUGGUGGGGUAAAGGCCUACCAAGGCGACGAUCCGUAACUGGUCUGAGAGGAUGAUCAGUCACACUGGAACUGAGACACGGUCCAGACUCCUACGGGAGGCAGCAGUGGGGAAUAUUGGACAAUGGGCGAAAGCCUGAUCCAGCCAUGCCGCGUGUGUGAAGAAGGUCUUCGGAUUGUAAAGCACUUUAAGUUGGGAGGAAGGGCAGUAAGUUAAUACCUUGCUGUUUGGACGUUACCAACAGAAUAAGCACCGGCUAACUUCGU
rnacentral:rRNA from 1 species